UAGUAGUGGCGAGCGAACGCGGAAGAGGCCAAACCGUGUCUGUGGGAGAGCUGACAGGCGUUGCAGGUGCGGGGUUGUGGGGCCGUUCGUGAUCGGGCUGUUGACUGGUCGUGGGUUGUGGUUGUGGAAGACGAAGCGUGUUGGGAUAGCGCGGCAGAGAAGGUAAGACCCCUGUAGUCGUAACAUGAUCACGCUUUAGGACGUGUCCCCAAGUAGCACGGGACUCCUGGAAUUUCGUGUGAAUCUGGCGGGCCCACCCGCUAAGCCUAAAUACUUCUUGGUGACCGAUAGCGGACUAGUACCGUGAGGGAAAGGUGAAAAGUACCCCGGGAGGGGAGUGAAAUAGUACCUGAA
rnacentral:rRNA from 1 species